CCUACGGGGUGCAGCAGCGGGGAAUAUUGGACAAUGGGGGAAACCCUGAUCCAGCCAUGCCGCGUGAGUGAUGAAGGCCUUAGGGUUGUAAAGCUCUUUCGCCAGGGAAGAUAAUGACGGUACCUGGAAAAGAAGCCUCGGCUAACUCCGUGCCAGCAGCCGCGGUAAGACGGAGGAGGCUAGCGUUGUUCGGAAUUACUGGGCGUAAAGCGUGCGCAGGUUGUGAGUUCAGUUGGAUGUGAAAGCCCGGGGCUUAACCUCGGAUGUGCAUCCAAUACUGGCUCGCUGGAGGUUGGAAGAGGAGAGUGGAAUUCCCAGUGUAGAGGUGAAAUUCGUAGAUAUUGGGAAGAACACCAGUGGCGAAGGCGGCUCUCUGGUCCAUACCUGACACUCAUGCACGAAAGCGUGGGGAGCAAACAGGAUUAGAUACCCCAGUAGUCC
rnacentral:rRNA from 1 species